rnacentral:rRNA from 1 species
UAGGGAAUCUUCCGCAAUGGACGCAAGUCUGACGGAGCAACGCCGCGUGAGUGAAGAAGGAUUUCGGUUCGUAAAACUCUGUUGUUAGAGAAGAACAGCGCAUAGAGUAACUGUUAUGCGUGUGACGGUAUCUAACCAGAAAGCCACGGCUAACUACGUGCCAGCAGCCGCGGUAAUACGUAGGUGGCAAGCGUUGUCCGGAUUUAUUGGGCGUAAAGCGAGCGCAGGCGGUCAAUUAAGUCAGAUGUGAAAGCCCCCGGCUCAACCGGGGAGGGUCAUUGGAAACUGGUUGACUUGAGUGCAGAAGAGGAGAGUGGAAUUCCAUGUGUAGCGGUGAAAUGCGUAGAUAUAUGGAGGAACACCAGUGGCGAAGGCGACUCUCUGGUCUGUAACUGACGCUGAGGCUCGAAAGCGUGGGUAGCAAACAGG